rnacentral:lncRNA from 1 species
UAUAAAUCUCAACUCACUUUGUUUUGAGUUGAUUAAUGGUUCACCAAUCUACUAGGCUUUGAAUUUCUUGGUUAUAGUUUUGUUUUUAAGUGCAUGCAAGCAUGAUUCCGCCUUUAAUUGUUAAUUGCAUGCUUAUUGAUGUUGCUUAAAUGAACUUGUUUUCACAAAAUUUUCCUUCAGUUUUCCCAAAAGAUUAGGAAUAUAAAUAACAAUUCCCCUCAGCCCCACUCACUUAAUUCAACCCAAGACCUGUUCCUCAAACAUGUUGUGACUUGCCAUUUCAGCUAAUCCCUCUCUUUUGUUAGCAUUGUUACUGUAAUUUAUAUAUCGUAUAUUCCAAUUUUGUUGUUCUUUAAAACUAAUUUUCUUGCUUUUUCAUUCUAUAUCAAUUAAAAAUAUCAUUCGUAAAUUAUUAUUUCAAUUAUUGGAAUGGUAUAAGGACUUUAAAAAAUUAAAAUACGGAAAUGUAUGAUGAAUGUACCUAUAACGGUGUUCAAUUGUUAAAAAAAAUUAUGACAAUUUUUUUUUUAAAUUUUCAAGUUGUUAAAAAACAUGUAGAUGGGUGAAAAAGAGGUAAUGGUGAAAAAAGAAAAGAUAAACGUGACACACCCCGACCUGGAAAGGUCGAAGCAUGCUGGCCGUCACCAUGAGGUGACGUAACCAUAAGGGUAAGUGAUGCAAAAAGUGAAUAAAAUUAAAACUAUUUAGAACUAAACAGUGAAAGAGUGCGCAAUUCAUGGGUUGAAGCCACUACAAUUAUUUAGAGCAUAAUAGACAGGGAGACUACGAAAGAGUAGUCAAAGCAACCAAAGUACUCUUAUUACAUAAUAGUGAUAAGUUCAUACGUCUAAACAGAAGGAAAUGUCAGAACUGCCGUGAUUCCUCGAGUGCCACGCAGAGUACAGCUAUCUAGGUCCUGGAGGGGCAAAAAACAAAGUUGAGUGGGUCAGCAAAACAAUGCUUACAAGAAAACCUUUAUCUUUGAAUAUACUAACCCCUCGCCGUAAAACAAGUAUAGUUUCCUCAAAACAUACUACGUAAGUAUGAAAUCCAAUAUAUCAGUCAUAUAACCAGAAAUAUGCCAAGUAAAUGAUGUAUCAUAUGCCACAAUAAUAAUCAUGUGAUAAUCAAUAUAACUAAGUGCUCAUCCAUCUAAGCUGACACACAAGUUCGAACAGAUGGUUUCUGACACGAACAGGACUGGGUGUAAUCAAUAU